rnacentral:rRNA from 1 species
ACUAAGCGUACACGGUGGAUGCCCUGGCAGUCAGAGGCGAUGAAGGACGUGCUAAUCUGCGAUAAGCGCCGGUAAGGUGAUAUGAACCGUUAUAACCGGCGAUUUCCGAAUGGGGAAACCCAGUGUGAUUCGUCACACUAUCAUUAACUGAAUCCAUAGGUUAAUGAGGCGAACCGGGGGAACUGAAACAUCUAAGUACCCCGAGGAAAAGAAAUCAACCGAGAUUCCCCCAGUAGCGGCGAGCGAACGGGGAGGAGCCCAGAGCCUGAAUCAGCAUGUGUGUUAGUGGAAGCGUCUGGAAAGGCGCGCGAUACAGGGUGACAGCCCCGUACACAAAAGCGCAUGUGUUGUGAGCUCGAUGAGUAGGGCGGGACACGUGGUAUCCUGUCUGAAUAUGGGGGGACCAUCCUCCAAGGCUAAAUACUCCUGACUGACCGAUAGUGAACCAGUACCGUGAGGGAAAGGCGAAAAGAACCCCGGCGAGGGGAGUGAAAAAGAACCUGAAACCGUGUACGUACAAGCAGUGGGAGCNUGAGGGAAAGGCGAAAAGAACCCCGGCGAGGGGAGUGAAAAAGAACCUGAAACCGUGUACGUACAAGCAGUGGGAGCCCCACCACUAAGCCAGUGGUGAACUCCACAUACGCAUCCUUUGCUGAGGAUACGGUUAACGGAGCGCAAGCGACGUUCAACCGCAAAAGAAGCAGAGGGGGCUUAGUGGUGGGGUGACUGCGUACCUUUUGUAUAAUGGGUCAGCGACUUAUAUUCUGUAGCAAGGUUAACCGUAUAGGGGAGCCGGAGGGAAACCGAGUCUUAAUUGGGCGUUAAGUUGCAGGGUAUAGACCCGAAACCCGGUGAUCUAGCCAUGGGCAGGUUNAGGGAAACCGAGUCUUAAUUGGGCGUUAAGUUGCAGGGUAUAGACCCGAAACCCGGUGAUCUAGCCAUGGGCAGGUUGAAGGUUGGGUAACACUAACUGGAGGACCGAACCGACUAAUGUUGAAAAAUUAGCGGAUGACCUGUGGCUGGGGGUGAAAGGCCAAUCAAACCGGGAGAUAGCUGGUUCUCCCCGAAAGCUAUUUAGGUAGCGCCUCGUGAAUUCAUCUCCGGGGGUAGAGCACUGUUUCGGCUAGGGGGCCAUCCCGGCUUACCAACCCGAUGCAAACUGCGAAUACCGGAGAAUGUUAUCACGGGAGACACACGGCGGGUGCUAACGUCCGUCGUGAAGAGGGAAACAACCCAGACCGCCAGCUAAGGUCCCAAAGUCAUGGUUAAGUGGGAAACGAUGUGGGAAGGCCCAGACAGCCAGGAUGUUGGCUUAGAAGCAGCCAUCAUUUAAAGAAAGCGUAAUAGCUCACUGGUCGAGUCGGCCUGCGCGGAAGAUGUAACGGGGCUAAACCAUGCACCGAAGCUGCGGCAGCGAGUAAUAGCUCACUGGUCGAGUCGGCCUGCGCGGAAGAUGUAACGGGGCUAAACCAUGCACCGAAGCUGCGGCAGCGAACGUAUCACUUAAAGCGAUUCAGCGGGUUACGAUUGACGGAGCGAAGCGACGUCAAAGCGUAUACAAAGUCGAGUCGGUUUAAGGAUACGUUCGUUGGGUAGGGGAGCGUUCUGUAAGCCUGUGAAGGUGGCCUGUGAGGGUUGCUGGAGGUAUCAGAAGUGCGAAUGCUGACAUAAGUAACGAUAAAGCGGGUGAAAAGCCCGCUCGCCGGAAGACCAAGGGUUCCUGUCCAACGUUAAUCGGGGCAGGGUGAGUCGACCCCUAAGGCGAGGCCGAAAGGCGUAGUCGAUGGGAAACGGGUUAAUAUUCCCGUACUUGGUGUUACUGCGAAGGGGGGACGGAGAAGGCUAUGUUGGCCGGGCGACGGUUGUCCCGGUUUAAGCGUGUAGGUGUGUGUUCCAGGUAAAUCCGGUUCACUUUAACACUGAGGCGUGAUGACGAGGCACUACGGUGCUGAAGCAACAAAUGCCCUGCUUCCAGGAAAAGCCUCUAAGCAUCAGGUAACAUCAAAUCGUACCCCAAACCGACACAGGUGGUCAGGUAGAGAAUACCAAGGCGCUUGAGAGAACUCGGGUGAAGGAACUAGGCAAAAUGGUGCCGUAACUUCGGGAGAAGGCACGCUGACAUGUAGGUGAAGUGAUUUACUCAUGGAGCUGAAGUCAGUCGAAGAUACCAGCUGGCUGCAACUGUUUAUUAAAAACACAGCACUGUGCAAACACGAAAGUGGACGUAUACGGUGUGACGCCUGCCCGGUGCCGGAAGGUUAAUUGAUGGGGUCAGCGCAAGCGAAGCUCCUGAUCGAAGCCCCGGUAAACGGCGGCCGUAACUAUAACGGUCCUAAGGUAGCGAAAUUCCUUGUCGGGUAAGUUCCGACCUGCACGAAUGGCGUAAUGAUGGCCAGGCUGUCUCCACCCGAGACUCAGUGAAAUUGAACUCGCUGUGAAGAUGCAGUGUACCCGCGGCAAGACGGAAAGACCCCGUGAACCUUUACUAUAGCUUGACACUGAACAUUGAGCCUUGAUGUGUAGGAUAGGUGGGAGGCUUUGAAGUGUGGACGCCAGUCUGCAUGGAGCCGACCUUGAAAUACCACCCUUUAAUGUUUGAUGUUCUAACGUGGACCCGUAAUCCGGGUUGCGGACAGUGUCUGGUGGGUAGUUUGACUGGGGCGGUCUCCUCCUAAAGAGUAACGGAGGAGCACGAAGGUUGGCUAAUCCUGGUCGGACAUCAGGAGGUUAGUGCAAUGGCAUAAGCCAGCUUGACUGCGAGCGUGACGGCGCGAGCAGGUGCGAAAGCAGGUCAUAGUGAUCCGGUGGUUCUGAAUGGAAGGGCCAUCGCUCAACGGAUAAAAGGUACUCCGGGGAUAACAGGCUGAUACCGCCCAAGAGUUCAUAUCGACGGCGGUGUUUGGCACCUCGAUGUCGGCUCAUCACAUCCUGGGGCUGAAGUAGGUCCCAAGGGUAUGGCUGUUCGCCAUUUAAAGUGGUACGCGAGCUGGGUUUAGAACGUCGUGAGACAGUUCGGUCCCUAUCUGCCGUGGGCGCUGGAGAACUGAGGGGGGCUGCUCCUAGUACGAGAGGACCGGAGUGGACGCAUCACUGGUGUUCGGGUUGUCAUGCCAAUGGCACUGCCCGGUAGCUAAAUGCGGAAGAGAUAAGUGCUGAAAGCAUCUAAGCACGAAACUUGCCCCGAGAUGAGUUCUCCCUGAGACUUAAAGUCUCCUGAAGGAACGUUGAAGACGACGACGUUGAUAGGCCGGGUGUGUAAGCGCAGCGAUGCGUUGAGCUAACCGGUACUAAUGAACCGUGAGGCUUAACC